UACGUAGGGUGCGAGCGUUAAUCGGAAUUACUGGGCGUAAAGCGCACGUAGGCGGCUUUGUAAGUUAGGUGUGAAAGCCCUGGGCUCAACCUAGGAAUUGCACUUGAUACUGUUUGGCUUGAGUUCGGGAGAGGUGAGUGGAAUUCCCAGUGUAGAGGUGAAAUUCGUAGAUAUUGGGAAGAACACCGGUGGCGAAGGCGGCUCUCUGGACCGACACUGACGCUGAGGCGCGAAAGCGUGGGGGAGCAAACAGG
rnacentral:rRNA from 1 species